UUUCUACUCCCUCCGUCCGAAAAUACUUGUGAUCAAAAUGGAUAAAAAGAGAUGUAUCUAAAACUAAAAUACGUCUAGAUACAUUUCCUUUUAUCCAUUUUGAUGACAAGUAUUUUCGGACGGAGGGAGUAUUUG
rnacentral:pre_miRNA from 1 species